GCCCGCAUGGCUCAGUGGUAGAGCGUGUCACUAGUAAACCUAGGCCAUGACAAGGUCGUCAGUUCGAUUCUGGCUGUGGGCA
rnacentral:tRNA from 1 species